rnacentral:lncRNA from 1 species
CGAGGGCUAGCGGCCGCCAGCGCCGGAGGACGCGGGGUAUUGGGCAGAGCUCCGGACUCCAGCGCCCGAAGGCCCGACAGCGCUCUGGGAAGCUCCCAGGGCCUCACACGAACCCCGGGCCCUGACGCUCUUGAAGUUGCACACGGAGAUUCAAGUGCAUGGAAAGUGGGAUGUUUUCUUAAUAAAAGGCCCAGAAACCCUUCAGGGCCAAGGGAGCUGAAUAAGAACCAGAGCCUGGCGUCGGGAAGCUAAGGUUUCUUGAAAAUGUUUAUGGAUCGCGCGGGGCUGUGGCUUCAGGUCUCAGAACAUCAAGGCACAGCCACUUCCUUCAGGGAACUCGGUCCCACCAGGGAAACACAAAGAUACAACCUCAUUGGAGCCUGACACAUCCGCUGCAUGUAAUUAAUGUCUUACAAGAGAAAAGUGAAGGGAGACAGCGUGCAUGCCGGGUUCCAAGGCGACCUGCCCAACACCCCGGUCACCAUCCCAGCCACAGGAGGCGGAAGCUGCCGGCAAUUUAAGGAUCUGCUGACUCCAUUCCCACAAUUCAUCCUUGGGCGAUUCCCCAAGGCCAACAAGAGCUACUCAAGAGGGUGCCUGCUGCUGGUAUAUUAGAAGACAGUAUGGUGGACAGUGUGGCUCGUUUUAAAUGAUCUGUAUGUGACCAGAAGGAAACAGACCAACUGCUAACAAGUCUUCUCUAUAAGCACCCAGAUUAAGUGGUUUUUGUAUUUUUGUCUAAUUUUUAUGUUCUUCAGGCUUUCUAGCACAAGUAGACAGUUGAUAAAGCUCAAACAUGUCAUUUUAAAUGGUCUUUAAAGGAGUCUAUAGAAACAAUUUGCUGUCUCCUGAGAAUAUCAUUCUAAAAAGUAUACGUAUUAUGGCCAUAAGUGAACCAUGUUGUGUGCAAAACCAGGUAAGCCCACAGUGAAUGACGAACCGGAAAAUAUCUGUGAAAAACUCUUUGUCUCUUCUAUAUUGUAAACUGGGCCAACUGCUUCUCUGUUCUCCAUUUUUAUUAUCCAGAUGGUGCUGUGUCCUUCCACUGGCUGCUUCGUUCUUGAAGAAGAUUACAGAGCAAGCCACUAGCAGAAGCAAUAAUGACAUUAGUGCACCUUUCCACUGGAUUGUCAUGUCUCUUUUGAGGAAGAAAAAGUACAAGCUUUAUGCUGGAUUCAUCCCCCUCACUUCUGUCUUCAAGUCAAGAUAAAAUGCUGACAAUGAGCUAGAACAGAUGAUGUACUCGAAAUGGCUGAGAAGUCAUUAACUAGCAAAAACCAGUUCAAAGGACAGGAAGAAAUAACUUGUUAUGGAUUGAGAGACAGGAGACAGGACUUUCACUUUCCACAAGUAACUUUCUUCCCUGGCCUCAGGCUCUCUUGAAAAAACAACCUAUAACUAAUUCUUGGGGAAGGGGGGGUGCCUUGGGGUGGAAGAACAAUUUGCUCAAACUUGGAAAACACAAAUGGUCAUUUAAACUGUCAAUAUCCAAAGAUUCAAAGAACCCAGGAUGGGGCAAAAAAGCAGCUCAGAGGGGCUUCUUCCUUUUUCAAUGCCAUUUGCCCAAACUCUAGUCAGUUACAGCUCUAUUGGAGACACUGGACCUCCUUGGCCUUCCCGGGGCCAUUUUUCUUCCUGGUCAUUUGGAUCAAGACAUUUCCACUUUGUUUAAUAAAUUUGUAGCUAUUGGAUGUGACCACGGG